rnacentral:rRNA from 1 species
UACGUAGGGUGCGAGCGUUAAUCGGAAUUACUGGGCGUAAAGCGUGCGCAGGCGGUUUGAUAAGCCAGAUGUGAAAUCCCCGGGCUCAACCUGGGAACUGCAUUUGUGACUGCAAGGCUAGAGUACGGCAGAGGGGGAUGGAAUUCCCCGUGUAGCAGUGAAAUGCGUAGAUAUGCGGAGGAACACCAACGGCGAAGGCAAUCCCCUGGGGCUGUACUGACGCUCAUGCACGAAAGCGUGGGGAGCAAACAGG